CCUCAGCAGGUGCCCAAUCAGGAUGUUACAUAACAUCCCCAUUCAAGAACAAAGACAAAAACAAAACAGUAACAGGUAUUUGCUGGAGCUCCUCACUGAGGUCACAUCUACCCACAUGAAGAAGCUCUUCUGCUCUGUUGCUGCCUUGGACCAAGAGCUGCUGGAUGGAGCUGCAGGACUUGGCUUCUCCGCCAUCACAUUGCUUGGCCUAGAACAGCACUACAGGAGGUGAGUUCUGGUUCUGAUAAUGGAGUAAUGCUGAGUGGUUGGGGGGCAGAAAUGUUUGGGGGGGAUUUUGAGGUGUCUGGGGGGGGACAUGGAGCUGAUGUUUGACAGUGAAGCUGUAUGUAGAUGUGGAGGUAUCAAUGGAGUUACACAAGGAACCAUGUUGGAACGUGACAAUGAGUAGAUGAGGGACUGAAUAGUGAAAAAGGAGCCAUAGUAGAUGAACAGAGAACACUUAGCUACAAAAAAGGAAAGGGGGCCUCACUAAGGAAAAGGGUAAAAAAAAUUAAGAAAAGACGGGUAAGAGCAGUAGAAAACCAAAAAAAGCAAGGUUAGAAUAUAAGGAAACAAAAAAAAGCAGGGUUAGAGAGGAAGAAAACCAAGAAAAGACAAAUUAGAGUGGCAGGAAAACCUAGAAAAGCAAGGUUAGAUGGGAAGAAAACCAAGAAACGACAAUUUAGAGUGGAAGAAAACCAAGAAAAGAGGGGUUAGAGCGGAAGAAAACCAAGAAAAGACGGUUUAGAAUGGAAGAAAACCAAGAAAAGAUGGGUUAGAGCCGAAGAAAACCAAGAAAGGACGGGCCGGAGCAGAUGAAAACCAAGAAAACAUGGGUUAGAGCGAAAGAAAACCAAGAAAAGCAGGGUUAGAACGGAAGAAAACCAAGAAAAGAUGGCUUAGAGCCGAAGAAAACAAAGAAAANUGUUUUCCUUGGUUUUCUUCGGCUCUAACCCUGUUUUUCUUGGUUUUCUUCUGUUCUAACCCUGCUUUUCUUGGUUUUCUUCCGCUCUAACCCUGUUUAUCUUGGUUUUAUUCCGCUCUAACCCUGUUUUUCUUGGUUUUUUUCGGCUCUAACCCUUUUUUUCUUGGUUUUCUUCCGUUCUAAUCCUGUUUUUCUUGGUUUUCUUCCGCUCUAACCCGGCUUUUCUUGGUUUUUUUCGGCUCUAACCCUGUUUUUCUUGGUUUUUUUCGGCUCUAACCCUGUUUUUCUUGGUUUUCUUCCGCUCUAA
rnacentral:lncRNA from 1 species